rnacentral:rRNA from 1 species
AGUGAACGCUGGCGGUAGGCCUAACACAUGCAAGUCGAACGGCAGCACAGUAAGAGCUUGCUCUUACGGGUGGCGAGUGGCGGACGGGUGAGGAAUACAUCGGAAUCUACUUUUUCGUGGGGGAUAACGUAGGGAAACUUACGCUAAUACCGCAUACGACCUCCGGGUGAAAGCAGGGGAUCUUCGGACCUUGCGCGAUUGAAUGAGCCGAUGUCGGAUUAGCUAGUUGGCGGGGUAAAGGCCCACCAAGGCGACGAUCCGUAGCUGGUCUGAGAGGAUGAUCAGCCAGACUGGAACUGAGACACGGUCCAGACUCCGACGGGAGGAAGCAGUGGGGAAUAUUGGACAAGGGGCGAAAGCCUGAUCCAGCCAUACCGCGUGGGUGAAGAAGGACUGCGGGUUGUAAAGCCCUUUUGUUGGGAAAGAAAAGCAGCAGGUUAAUACCCCGCUGUUCUGACGGUACCCAAAGAAUAAGCACCGGCUAACUUCGUG